rnacentral:rRNA from 1 species
ACGCUCGACACCUACGGGAGGCAGCAGUGGGGAAUAUUGCACAAUGGGGGGAACCCUGAUGCAGCGACGCCGCGUGAGGGAAGAAGGUUUUCGGAUUGUAAACCUCUGUCCUUGGUGACGAUAAUGACGGUAGCCAAGGAGGAAGCCACGGCUAACUACGUGCCAGCAGCCGGGUAAUCUGAGCGGGCUGGCAAGGC